UGGGACUUCUCCCUGAUGUUACGGCGGACGGGUGAGUACACGUGGGUACCUGCCUGUAAGACUGGGAUAACUCCGGGAAACCGGGGCUAAUACCGGAUGGUUGUCUGAACCGCAUGGUUCAGACAUAAAAGGUGGCUUCGGCUACCACUUACAGAUGGACCCGCGGCGCAUUAGCUAGUUGGUGAGGUAACGGCUCACCAAGGCGACGAUGCGUAGCCGACCUGAGGAGGGUGAUCGGCCACACUGGGACUGAGACACGGCCCAGACUCCUACGGGAGGCAGCAGUAGGGAAUCUUCCGCAAUGGACGAAAGUCUGACGGAGCAACGCCGCGUGAGUGAUGAAGGUUUUCGGAUCGUAAAGCUCUGUUGUUAGGGAAGAACAAGUGCCGUUCAAAUAGGGCGGCACCUUGACGGUACCUAACCAGAAAGCCACGGCUAACUACGUGCCAGCAGCCGCGGUAAUACGUAGGUGGCAAGCGUUGUCCGAUAAUUUUUGGGGGCCUUAAAGAAA
rnacentral:rRNA from 1 species